GUGGGGAAUCUUGCACAAUGGGCGAAAGCCUGAUGCAGCGACGCCGCGUGCGGGGCGAAGGCCUUCGGGUCGUAAACCGCUUUCAGCAGGGACGAGGCCGCGAGGUGACGGUACCUGCAGAAGAAGCCCCGGCUAACUACGUGCCAGCAGCCGCGGUAAUACGUAGGGGGCGAGCGUUAUCCGGAUUCAUUGGGCGUAAAGCGCGCGCAGGCGGCCUGCUCGGUCGGGAGUCAAAUCCGGGGGCUCAACCCCCGCCCGCUCCCGAUACCGGCGGGCUUGAGUCUGGUAGGGGAAGGCGGAAUUCCCAGUGUAGCGGUGGAAUGCGCAGAUAUUGGGAAGAACACCGGUGGCGAAGGCGGCCUUCUGGGCCACGACUGACGCUGAGGCGCGAAAGCUAGGGGAGCGAACAGGAUUAGAUACCCUGGUAGUCCUAGCCGUAAACGAUGGACACUAGGUGUGGGGGGAGGAUCCCUCCGUGCCGCAGCCAACGCAUUAAGUGUCCCGCCUGGGGAGUACGGCCGCAAGGCUA
rnacentral:rRNA from 1 species